rnacentral:rRNA from 1 species
UACAGAGGGGGCAAGCGUUGUUCGGAAUUACUGGGCGUAAAGGGCGCGUAGGCGGCCCGCUAAGUCGAACGUGAAAUCCCCGGGCUCAACCCGGGAACUGCGUCCGAUACUGGUGGGCUUGAAUCCGGGAGAGGGAUGCGGAAUUCCAGGUGUAGCGGUGAAAUGCGUAGAUAUCUGGAGGAACACCGGUGGCGAAGGCGGCAUCCUGGACCGGCAUUGACGCUGAGGCGCGAAAGCCAGGGGAGCAAACGGG